rnacentral:rRNA from 1 species
UACCAGCACCCCGAGUGGUCGGGACGUUUAUUGGGCCUAAAGCAUCCGUAGCCGGUUCUACAAGUCUUCCGUUAAAUCCAGCUGCUUAACAGAUGGGCUGCGGAGGAUACUAUGGAGCUAGGAGGCGGGAGAGGCAAGCGGUACUCGAUGGGUAGGGGUAAAAUCCGUUGAUCCAUUGAAGACCACCAGUGGCGAAGGCGGCUUGCCAGAACGCGCUCGACGGUGAGGGAUGAAAGCUGGGGGAGCAAACCGG